UACGUAGGGGGCGAGCGUUGUCCGGAGUUACUGGGCGUAAAGGGCACGCAGGCGGUGCGGCGCGUUUCGCGUGACAGCGGAGGGCUUAACUCUCCGAGGAUGCGAAAAGACGGCGGCACUUGAGGGCCAGAGAGGGGACACGGAAUUCCGGGUGGAGUGGUGAAAUGCGCAGAUAUCAGGAAGAACACCCGUGGCGAAGGCGGCUCUCUGGGGACGUGACUGACGCUG
rnacentral:rRNA from 1 species